rnacentral:rRNA from 1 species
UGGGGAAUAUUGGACAAUGGGCGAAAGCCUGAUCCAGCAAUGCCGCGUGUGUGAAGAAGGCCUGCGGGUUGUAAAGCACUUUCGUUGGGGAGGAUGGUGAGUAUUGUUAAUAGCAAUAUUCAUUGACGUUACCUGAAGAAGAAGCACCGGCUAACUCUGUGCCAGCAGCCGCGGUAAUACGUAGGGAGCAAGCGUUGUUCGGAUUUACUGGGCGUAAAGGGCGCGUAGGCGGCGCGGUAAGUCACUUGUGAAAUCUCUGAGCUUAACUCAGAACGGCCAAGUGAUACUGCAGUGCUAGAGUGCAGAAGGGGCAAUCGGAAUUCUUGGUGUAGCGGUGAAAUGCGUAGAUAUCAAGAGGAACACCUGAGGUGAAGACGGGUUGCUGGGCUGACACUGACGCUGAGGCGCGAAAGCCAGGGGAGCAAACGGGAUUAGAUACCCUUGUAGUCCCUGAGCGGGCUGGCAAGGCGCAU